GUCCACUGAGCGGCGGACCAGAGCCAUAGCCCUAUCAUGACUAUCGUUGCCGCCGGCCGAUAUAGCGUCGCCAUGACGACCAGGCCGGCUGC
rnacentral:sRNA from 1 species